rnacentral:misc_RNA from 1 species
UACAGAGGGUGCAAGCGUUAAUCGGAAUUACUGGGCGUAAAGCGCACGUAGGCGGUGUGUUAAGUUGGAUGUGAAAUCCCCGGGCUCAACCUGGGAACUGCAUCCAAAACUGGCCGACUAGAGUCCGGUAGAGGGUGGUGGAAUUUCCUGUGUAGCGGUGAAAUGCGUAGAUAUAGGAAGGAACACCAGUGGCGAAGGCGACCACCUGGACUAAUACUGACACUGAGGUGCGAAAGCGUGGGGAGCAAACAGG